AUGGAUGUUGUGAUUAGUAUCGUUGGAAAAAUUGGAGAACUCCUGGUUGAGCCAAUUGGGCGACAAUUUGGCUAGUUAAUUCACUACAGCAGUAACAUUGAAGCUCUUCAGGAGCAAGUUCAUAAACUAGAAGCUGUGAGGGAAGACGUGAAGGCAUCCAUUGAUGCAGCAAAAAGGAACCGGGAGGUCAUCAGAAAUGAGGUUCACAGUUGGACAUCAGAGGUUGAUGAGAUCCUGUCGAAGGCUGAGAAAUUUCUCGAUGGCUUCCAAAGCAAGGUUUCAUAAUUUGGCUUCACGUUAUCUGCUAAGUAGGAAUGCUGAAAAGCUGAAGCAGGGAAGCAGAAGAGAUUGAAAAACAGAAAAAUAAAGGCAACUUUGAUAGAGUUUCCAAUCCUGCACCUCCGCCACCGUUAUUGUUUCCAUCUCAAGAAGAUAUUGUGAUUUCCUAAAGCAGACAACCAGUAAUAGAGGAGAUUAUGGGGCUUUCAAGGACAACAAAACCAACUUCAUUGGGAUACACGGAAUGGGAGGGGUGGGUAAAACCACUCUGGUGAAAGAAGUUGCUAAAAGGGCUCAAGAAAGCACGCUUUUCCCUACUAUUGCUAUGGUUGUGGUGUCACAAACUGUUGAUGUGAAAAAGAUUCAAGACCAGAUAGCAGAGAGGUUGGUUUUGAAAUUGAAGGAGGUUAGUGAACAAGAUCGAGUAAGCCGGUUGCAAGCUAGAUUGAAGGAAGAGAUAAAGUCCUCAUAAUCUUAGAUGAUAUUUGGGACAGACUAGAUCGUGCAAAUGUGGGCAUUCCAUUUGGCCAUGAUCAUACGUGUUGCAAAGUUAUGGUCACAACACGUCGUAGACAAGCAUGCGAGACUAUGGUCCACAUGAGGGAGACAGCAAAGAUCAUCCCUAUUUAAUGUUUUAUCAGAGAAAGAAUCAUGGGUCUUGCUUAAAAUGCAGGCGAUGUUAUUGAGUCUCCAACAUUUAAUUCUUCUGCAAAAGAUAUUCUCAAAGAAUGUGGAGGCCUGCCUCUAGCUCUUGUAACAGUGGGAAGGGCAAUGAGAGGCAAAGAUCCUGACGAAUGGCAAGUGGCAGUUCGGAAGCUUAGGAAAUCAAGGCCAGAAAUCAUUGAAGGGAUGGAUAAAGAUGUGUACAAAUGCCUUCAGUUUAGCUAUGAUUACCUAAAAGAUGAUGAAGCCAAGAAAGUUUUCAAGCUGUGCUGUUUAUUUCCUGAGGAUUUCGAUAUCUCAGUAGAAGACCUGGUAAGAUAUGGGAUUGGACUGAAAAUAUUGGAAGACGUUGCGAGAGUGGAGGAUGCAAGACAAAGUGCUCGUUUUAUCAUCAAAUAUCUGAAAGAUUCAUGUUUGUUUUUGGAAAGUGAUAUGGAAGGCUGGGUCAAAAUGCAUGAUGUUGUGCGUGAUGUUGCCUUAUCAAUGGCGUCAGAUUAUUUGGUGAGAGACCGUGUCAAAAAGUUGGAGGGUUGGCCAAGUAUGAAAAAUAUGAAGCAUUACACUGCCAUCUCAAUAAUGGAAAAUAAGAUUUCUCAAAUUCAAUUUCCUGAUGCUUGGACUGCCCAAAACUCAAGAUAUUGUUGUUGAAGCAACGUAUUUUUGACAGGGAGUUGUUGCAUUUGCCAAAAGCAGCCUUGACAGAGAUGAAAGCCCUUGAAGUUUUCCAUCAGACGGCCUCGCUUAUUAGACCUUUGUAUGGACUCUUGGAAUUUGGUCAAUUAACCAAUCUCCGGACACUGAUGCUUCAGGGAUGUAUGAUUGGCGACACCGCUGCAGUUGGGGAACUGAAGAUGCUUGAAAUUCUUAGCUUCAAAAUGUGACUUCCUAGAGCCAUUCAGUACAAUAGGGAAGUUGACUAAUCUAAGAUUGCUAGAUUUUGAACAUCAUCGUUGUUCUUCCAACUUUUCUAUCAUAUUUCCAUCCAAUGCUAUAUCUAGUUUGUCCCAAUUAGAGGAAUUAUAGAUGCUUUCUUUUGGUCCCUCAUACUUCAACAUAACUGAGUUGAAAUCCCUGUCUUGCUUGACCACCCUUACAAUUUCCAUUCAAACCAUUCCUCAAGGCUUCACGUUCCCAGAUUUGAAGGUUUUCAAAAUAUGCUUAGGAACAAAGACAAGAUUUCAGAAGUUCAAUAGUUUGAGUCUUUCUAGCUCGCCCACAAUUGUUGCUUCAUGCCAUUACUGCAGAGAACAAAUAAUCUAUAUUUAGAAUCAUUUGAAGAUUUAGAGAAUAUCAUUCCUCGCUUAUUUUUAGAUGGAGAUAGUUCAGCUGUUUUAGAAAAACUAAAAAUUGUCCGUUGUCGUAAUUUCCAGUACCGGAUCAAUGUUGAAGAAUUGACACGGCAAGCCCUCCUUCCGUCCAUGUCUCUGCUUUCACUAAGGAAACUUAUCAAUCUUAAGGCUUUUUGCGUGGAUAACUUACCUUUCAAAUGGCAAUCCUUGGCAAUGGUAAAUGUAAGUAAUUGCCCUGCAUUGGAGUACAUAUUUGAAAAGAAAGGAACGCCUCUCUCUUUUAGAAAACUUCAUUUGUCAUCUUUGGAAGGAAUGAAGCACAUACGGAAGAGCCCUAGUGAGUUGUUGCACCUGCACAAUCUACAAACUGUAAAGAUAGAAUCGUGUCGUAAAUUGAAAGUUAUCUUUCGUGCUUUUGUUGCUCAAGGACUUGGGCAGUUGAAACAACUGGACUUGUUUGAUUGUGAUGAAUUGGAAGCAAUUGUUGCAGAAAGGCAAGAAGGGGAGGAAACGAUUGACAAUGUGAUGUUCUCUCAAUUAAUAGAGCUUUCACUAAGGAAACUUAUCAAUCUUAAGGCUUUUUGCAUGGAUAACUUACCUUUCAAAUUUUCAUCCUUGGAAAUGGUAAAGGUGCACAAGUGCCCUAAAUUGAAGACAUUUGCUGCUUCUGAUGGAAACCAGAGCACAACAGAAUUGAAGGUGAUCAAAGUAAACAACAAUGACAUAAAGCUUAAUGGAAUAGACUUAAACAUAGUCAUACAAAAUCACAACAAAAAGGACGGAGCUGCAGGUCCAAGCAACUAA